GACUAGUAGGCGCAAGGCUGGACAGCAAGCUAGAAAGACAGAAAACAAAAAGUAGAGUUAUAUAAAAAGAUGACAAAGGGAAGGUGUCUGAUUUCAUACUAGACAGUGGACACAUGAAGAAACUGUCCCUAUGCCAUAAUCUUCAAAGAGGAGUUUGCACCAUCAGCUGAAGAGCUAUGCUCUGACGAUCAUGGAGACGAAAUCCAAAAAGGUUGAGGAGAAGUGGAACGAGCUGGCUCGGAAACAGGAGGAGGAGGCAGCCCAGAAGCGACCCGUGGAGGUGAACUUUGCCAAUGACUCCAGGGACAAAUAUAGCCAUCUCACUGGCAGAAGAGCAGCCAAGGACGCAGCCCACGUGCUACAGGCUAGCCGUGGCUGUGUACCCGUGACGAACAAACAGGACACAGUCCACAGAAGAGAAUAUGUAUGAAGUUGGAGCCAGUAAACACUGUGGCAGAAUG
rnacentral:lncRNA from 1 species